UAAGUUAGAAAGGGCGCACGGUGGAUGCCUUGACACUAGGAGUCGAUGAAGGACGGGACUAACGCCGAUAUGCUUCGGGGAGCUGUAAGUAAGCUUUGAUCCGAAGAUUUCCGAAUGGGGAAACCCACCAUACGUAAUGGUAUGGUAUCCUUAUCUGAAUACAUAGGGUAAGGAAGACAGACCCAGGGAACUGAAACAUCUAAGUACCUGGAGGAAGAGAAAGCAAAUGCGAUUUCCUGAGUAGCGGCGAGCGAAACGGAACAUAGCCCAAACCAAGAGGCUUGCCUCUUGGGGUUGUAGGACAUUCUAUACGGAGUUACAAAGGAACGAGGUAGACGAAGCGACCUGGAAAGGUCCGUCGUAGAGGGUAACAACCCCGUAGUCGAAACUUCGUUCUCUCUUGAAUGUAUCCUGAGUACGGCGGAACACGUGAAAUUCCGUCGGAAUCUGGGAGGACCAUCUCCCAAGGCUAAAUACUCCCUAGUGAUCGAUAGUGAACCAGUACCGUGAGGGAAAGGUGAAAAGCACCCCGGAAGGGGAGUGAAAGAGAUCCUGAAACCGUGUGCCUACAAAUAGUCAGAGCCCGUUAACGGGUGAUGGCGUGCCUUUUGUAGAAUGAACCGGCGAGUUACGAUCCCGUGCGAGGUUAAGCUGAAGAGGCGGAGCCGCAGCGAAAGCGAGUCUGAAUAGGGCGUUUAGUACGUGGUCGUAGACCCGAAACCAGGUGAUCUACCCAUGUCCAGGGUGAAGUUCAGGUAACACUGAAUGGAGGCCCGAACCCACGCACGUUGAAAAGUGCGGGGAUGAGGUGUGGGUAGCGGAGAAAUUCCAAUCGAACCUGGAGAUAGCUGGUUCUCCCCGAAAUAGCUUUAGGGCUAGCCUUAAGUGUAAGAGUCUUGGAGGUAGAGCACUGAUUGGACUAGGGGUCCUCAUCGGAUUACCGAAUUCAGUCAAACUCCGAAUGCCAAUGACUUAUCCUUAGGAGUCAGACUGCGAGUGAUAAGAUCCGUAGUCAAAAGGGAAACAGCCCAGACCGCCAGCUAAGGUCCCAAAGUGUGUAUUAAGUGGAAAAGGAUGUGGAGUUGCUUAGACAACUAGGAUGUUGGCUUAGAAGCAGCCACCAUUUAAAGAGUGCGUAAUAGCUCACUAGUCGAGUGACUCUGCGCCGAAAAUGUACCGGGGCUAAAUACACCACCGAAGCUGCGGAUUGAUACCAAUGGUAUCAGUGGUAGGGGAGCGUUCUAAGGACAGUGAAGUCAGACCGGAAGGACUGGUGGAGUGCUUAGAAGUGAGAAUGCCGGUAUGAGUAGCGAAAGACGGGUGAGAAUCCCGUCCACCGAAUGCCUAAGGUUUCCUGAGGAAGGCUCGUCCGCUCAGGGUUAGUCAGGACCUAAGCCGAGGCCGACAGGCGUAGGCGAUGGACAACAGGUUGAUAUUCCUGUACCACCUCUUUAUCGUUUGAGCAAUGGAGGGACGCAGAAGGAUAGAAGAAGCGUGCGAUUGGUUGUGCACGUCCAAGCAGUUAGGCUGAUAAGUAGGCAAAUCCGCUUAUCGUGAAGGCUGAGCUGUGAUGGGGAAGCUCCUUAUGGAGCGAAGUCUUUGAUUCCCCGCUGCCAAGAAAAGCUUCUAGCGAGAUAAAAGGUGCCUGUACCGCAAACCGACACAGGUAGGCGAGGAGAGAAUCCUAAGGUGUGCGAGAGAACUCUGGUUAAGGAACUCGGCAAAAUGACCCCGUAACUUCGGGAGAAGGGGUGCUUUCUUAACGGAAAGCCGCAGUGAAUAGGCCCAAGCGACUGUUUAGCAAAACACAGCUCUCUGCGAAGCCGUAAGGCGAAGUAUAGGGGGUGACACCUGCCCGGUGCUGGAAGGUUAAGGAGAGGGGUUAGCGUAAGCGAAGCUCUGAACUGAAGCCCCAGUAAACGGCGGCCGUAACUAUAACGGUCCUAAGGUAGCGAAAUUCCUUGUCGGGUAAGUUCCGACCCGCACGAAAGGUGUAACGAUUUGGGCACUGUCUCAACCAGAGACUCGGUGAAAUUAUAGUACCUGUGAAGAUGCAGGUUACCCGCGACAGGACGGAAAGACCCCGUGGAGCUUUACUGUAGCCUGAUAUUGAAUUUUGGUACAGUUUGUACAGGAUAGGCGGGAGCCUUUGAAACCGGAGCGCUAGCUUCGGUGGAGGCGCUGGUGGGAUACCGCCCUGACUGUAUUGAAAUUCUAACCUACGGGUCUUAUCGACCCGGGAGACAGUGUCAGGUGGGCAGUUUGACUGGGGCGGUCGCCUCCUAAAGUGUAACGGAGGCGCCCAAAGGUUCCCUCAGAAUGGUUGGAAAUCAUUCGUAGAGUGCAAAGGCAUAAGGGAGCUUGACUGCGAGACCUACAAGUCGAGCAGGGACGAAAGUCGGGCUUAGUGAUCCGGUGGUUCCGCAUGGAAGGGCCAUCGCUCAACGGAUAAAAGCUACCCCGGGGAUAACAGGCUUAUCUCCCCCAAGAGUCCACAUCGACGGGGAGGUUUGGCACCUCGAUGUCGGCUCAUCGCAUCCUGGGGCUGUAGUCGGUCCCAAGGGUUGGGCUGUUCGCCCAUUAAAGCGGUACGCGAGCUGGGUUCAGAACGUCGUGAGACAGUUCGGUCCCUAUCCGUCGUGGGCGUAGGAAAUUUGAGAGGAGCUGUCCUUAGUACGAGAGGACCGGGAUGGACGCACCGCUGGUGUACCAGUUGUUCUGCCAAGGGCAUAGCUGGGUAGCUAUGUGCGGAAGGGAUAAGUGCUGAAAGCAUCUAAGCAUGAAGCCCCCCUCAAGAUGAGAUUUCCCAUAGCGUAAGCUAGUAAGAUCCCUGAAAGAUGAUCAGGUUGAUAGGUUCGAGGUGGAAGCAUGGUGACAUGUGGAGCUGACGAAUACUAAUAGAUCGAGGACUUAACCA
rnacentral:rRNA from 1 species